AACUCACUCGUCAUAAACUUCUGAGCAGCCAUUGGGUAACGGUGUUCUUCUGACUGGUAUACCUUAUAUCAACUUUUAUAUAAAGAUAUAAAGAUUCUAUUCCUGAGAAUACUUCUUUCUUUCAAGAGCAGAGGAUCUAAAGCUUUGAAUAAAAUAUAUCUAUAUCGAAGGUUAGUAUAAAGAUUGAUGUGAGCAAUAUGAUUUUUGUAAUGAAUUAAUUAUAUAUAUAUAUAUAUAUAUAUAUAUAUAUAUAUAUAUAUAUAUAUAUAUAUAUAUAUAUAUAUAUAUAUAUAUAUAUAUAUAUAUAUAUAUAUAUAUAUAUAUAUGUAUAUAUAAUUCCUGAAAUCAAGCAAGUUAAAUUUAUAUAUAUAUAGAUGAAUUUGAAAGUUUGCAUUAGUAAAAUACGGUGAAAAAGUACUACAUAGUUUUUGUAAAAUGACUGGACUGAUUUAAUAUUUGUUUGACACGAACCUGUGAUUCUUCAGUUCAAAUAUAUACUUAUAUAUAAUGUUAGAUAAAUUUGUACUUUUAGUAUUUUGGCUUACGUAUCACACUCAAUAGUGGCAAUUCUGGCAUAUGCAUUUAGCAAGCUAGGUUUCCAAUUAACCAUGCAACCUCCCAAGCCGGGUUUACAACUAACCAAUUUCGUGACGUGAUAUAUUUAGUAAUUGGAAGCAAAAUAUGACAUAAUGGCGCACGAAUGAGUAUAUUUAGUCCUAUCGAUCUGCACGAACUUUCGUGAAGAAAAAGGGAGUUAGAGCAUUAAAUCUAAGUUGCAUAUUGUCAUCUACUGCAGUCCUAAGUUUCCAAUGAGGUGUUCGUUUCCUGUUCGCAGCAAAGCUAUAAUUAAGUAAAUGCCCUUGUAUCCGAUAGAUGCACAUAUAAGCCAAUUUAUUUUCAAGACAUAUAUACUUAGAAUUCAUCGUUGUUCCGUUAAAAUGCUGCUCACCACAGUCCAAGAUGAAAUUCAACUCAAAUUUUCUUUUAGCAACACGCCUCCGAUAGAAUACAACAAGUCCGGAUAGAAACAAUAUUACUAAUUCAAUGUUUCGGCUAUGUUGUCUUUAUUAUGUUCUUGGGCGUUUUAUAAAAAUAUUUUGUGUUUCCCGUCAUUAACGCCUCAUAAGUCAUGAUUUUGUCAUUAAUAUGCGUCCAGUGCAGCAAAAUAUUAUUGACGACAUUUAGCACGACGGUUCAGCAUCAAGCGUCGACCACGAUUUAGCGGGUGUAAGAAACAAUCUGACCGUUGAUGUUAAUGACUAUAGCUCGUGAUCUUGAAAAGAUUAAAAACACUUCGAGGUUACAAGCAUGAAGCAUCCAGCGGUAAAUUUCACACGUUAGCGCUGCGUAAAACUACGUCUUUUUUAAAAAAAUUCUUUUAUUUUGUCUUGGGAUUAUCCAAUGCAUGAAUUAUAAAGUUGACCUGGAUAAAAGGGAUUUGUUUAAAGAACGAGGCGUUUCUAACCUUAAUUAACCACUAACGAAGGGCCCUCGUUUGAAGUGUUGAAGAGUUAAAUCUUUCUAGGCUGGUACGGGUAUAUCCACAUAUCCGCGGUUCUUCUAAGCAAUAAUUUUGCUCCAUCGUGCUGUAAGGAUUAUUUGAACGCAAGCGUAUUGAACGCGCACGGAAUGUUAAGAAACGCGAAAAUAAAGGUGUAGCCGGAUAUUACAGUUUAGAAAACCAUUUGAUGUUUUGGCCAUGCAUGAGAUGUUAUGUAAUUAUCCUGCAGCAAAACACAUCGGCUAAACUAAUACAAAAAGUGCAAGGGGGCAUGCAUGAUUUAUUAAGAUUUGAAAUUCCAUCAGUUCAGUUGUAUUUAACACCUUGGCCUAUAGGCUCAACUAAUAAUCCAGUAAACGUCCAUAAAGGAGAUGUCCGGUAAUCUAACACGCCGGUCUUUUCUUUAUAAUCAACUAACCUACUGCGGAAGAACAGUUAUUUACGAUAUUUGGUCUCAUUUUAGUUGCAAGCAAACAGAUAAGAACUUUAAACAAACGGCAUAUCAGCCGGUCCAAAUUUAUCUAAAACUUUUUAUCGCUCUAUUUUUAUAGGUUAGAAAAUUGCAUUAAAAGGUAGUGAUUAAAGGAUAUUUUUGCUAAUUUACCGUUUUACAAAGUCAUCAGCGCCUACGCAAAUUUGCGCAUCUCAAGUAUUUGAAGAGACUUUAAACUACAGUCUUAAUAGCGCAUCAAGUAGCUUUGACUGCGUGGUCGUAUAACUUUAGUGCUAUAUCAUAGCUUCUUUAUAUGCAGCAUAGUUUUCCAUCAUUGUUGAUGGGUGGUGCUUCGAUUGCUUUUGGCAAUGUCGAUAAGAAAUAAUGACAUCACAAAUCCAAACUAUGUGACAUAGGCCUGUCCAAAAUAUUUUUAAUAGGUAAACAUCCUUUUCGGGUUAUAAACAAUUCCAACCUUCUGCGCACAUCUGGCGACAGUUAUAAAAGCGGCGUUUCACUAUAUCCUCUGUUCAUACGCAACUGAUUGUCCUACAGUACAGUGCAAGAAGUCCAAGUGCCGUGGAUCGGAUUAACUCGAACACAACAAGAACAUCUACUUCUAUUGUACAGGUAAUGCGAAUAUGGCGACCUUUUAUUGGCACUAAUAUACCACUAUUGCUAUUUUUAUCGUAUUGAUUCUAAAUUUUAAAAUGGUUCUGCAGUUUUGACAAUUGAUGUCGAUCAAAAGAACACUGUCACUGUUCAAUAUUUGUAAACGAGAACGGAGACAACUGUAAUCACACAGUGCUACUUCUUGAUUAAAUACUUUACAAUGUUCAGUUUAAAAUCAUUUUGUAUUCAUAUUUUAAUUUUGCUUUAAAUUGUGAAAUGAUCAGUUUCCUCAAUUGGGAUGGAUAAAAAACACUAUUCAACAUUUUACGAAAACUGCAAUCACACAGUGUUAUGGUUAAUAGUGAGUGUUUACGGCUGAAGAUCGUUUGAAUUUCUAACUUAAAUCCUAAAACCGUUAAUUUUUUAAACGGUUCAGUUUUUUCAAUGGUGUUGAUAAACAAUUUACCGGCAACGAACAUCAAAGACAAAGCGAGAAUUGAAAUUGUACAUGCUAUAAACAAUGCAAGUAACUCUCAGUAAUGAAACUUGUGAAAAGUGGAAACGUGUUUUUUCAAAGAUGCGUGAAUCGCAUUCUAUACUGCGUUAAAUUUCGAUGAAUCAAAACAUUGAGUGUAGCGAUGAAUCAAAACAUUUAGUGUAGUAAGUGUAUACCAAAGCUCUUACAGCUUCUAUACUUACAGACGAAACUAUUAUGCAUCGCCUUGAAAUGUAUGUCUCCUUUGACUUGUGUUCUUGAGUUCAAUUAUAAAAAGAUUGAACUUAUUAUCACGUUUUAAAAGCUCCUAAUUUGUCUAAGACUAACUACAUUGCCGUUGGUAGCGUGAAUCAGCGAUUUAUUUCCCCACCUUUGUACAAAAACGGAAAAGGCGAGGCAUUAGAUGUACAAAUGUCUAAUGAUUUCAGCGUAUUGUUUCACAUGCACAUAAUGGUGUUCUCACGCAAGCUAGGUAUAGAUGUUUUCAUCACCUUUCUAAUUUUACCUCAACAUAUAUUAUUGAAUCAGUAUGUACCCGCACAGUAUGUACAUGUCUGUACGGCCCCUGAGAUAUUAUUCUGAACAGAGAACCGAAUCGUAAAGUUUUCGAUUAAACCCGAAUCUUCAGCGCAUGCUCACUAGUAAGUGCACUCGAUCUUUACACCACAUAAAUAUAUAUAGCCCGGCCAAGCUGUUUAAUAUAUGCUAGUUAAAAAUAAUCAUCACACGAUCUUUACCACAUAUGAUAUUAGUUAACAUUAAGUAUAUCUAUAAUCUCUCAACUCAGGUGGCCCAGUUAAAUUUAGCUCAAACACCCAGCCUGCGAACAACAUGUAAUUAGCAUGCUACUGCACUGUUAAAAGCUGUUGGGUUGAGCCGUAAUAACUAUUAUAAUACUGACUAUCGCAAGAAACUCUCAAGUAUAUUUUUUGUACGAUAUAAGAAAAUUUUGCUUUCGGUUUAUUGGCUCACACAUCGUUUUCCAAACAAUUCCCCUGUGAAUAAUAAAUGACACCUGCGAGCUCUAAUAUUCCCAUGCAUGGUAAUUAAUUGAUGCAUCUCGGCGCAAUCGUUGAUAAACGAAUAUCAAUCGAAACAUUCACAAACGAAUCUUGGCGGGGAUUCAUGUGUACCUCUAUAUAAAAAAUAGCCGCAUCUUGACAUGGAGUGUGGGAAAUAGUAGCAUGAUGCAUUUAUCAAUUCACUCAAGGGCUAAGUAUAUUAAUAAAAUAUACAGCGUGAGCGACCGACGUGUUGACUGUUGUAUAAGAUACAAACACGCGCAUGUUUAUCUCCUUCCUCUUCUUGGCUCGCCUUAUACAUUUAACCUAUAACUGCUGUAACCGUACGAAUUCCCAUGCGUGGUGAACAAAUGGAAUAGUGCAGGUCGGGUAUUAUAACGCGCAUGUUAAUACAUACGUGCAUGCAUGAUUUGAGGAUAUUAUUUGUGGCCCUACCCAUUGCAUGCACGCAUUGUAUUAGUUUAUACUUAAUUAUAAUCCAGAAAAACCUCAAUUGCCAAUUAGCUGAUUAAGAUUCUAAAUUAAGACUGUUGAUUGUUUCAACUUCUGAAAGAAACCGCCUUGUUAACUAAUUGUGGUUUGAAAGACUUGGAAACCUGGCGAAUCAUGUAUUGUUUAUCGGCAUGAGAGUUUUACCCCACAGUCAAAAAUAUCUUUAUAAAUUGCAUGCUAUAUCCAAUUUUCAAUUUGAGAAUUAUUCUAUUUUGGCCAAGAUCUAAUUAGUUGUAUUAGACAUAACUACAACAUCCAUGCACAUAUUAUAGCCUAUAGUAUAGGGUAUAUAUACUAGCAUUGCUAGUUCAAACUUAUUCGAACUUUGGAAAAUCAUAGGUGGUGACCGGCAUAAUAGACUGCGAAGCAGUCGCUAUAUAACGUAAACGUUUAACGCAGACUUAAUUGUGCCUUUGCCAUUGGUAACUCAUAAGAGUCAGGACAAUAGCUGUUACCUAAGAGGCCUCAUUAAAUACUUGAAAUAAUGAUCAAACUGUCGCAAGAGAAAAUCGAAAGAAGACAUUAUAGUGUUCACCACUUCUAUAAUUUAGACAAAAACGUUUUCUUCACAAAAUAGUGAUUUUCCCUUUUUCAUCCUAUUUUAUACAUCAUGAAGACAAAUGUAAACUAUCGGAUGGUUAAUUAUAACGUGCAGUACAUUAAAAUUACGUAAACCGAGUAAAAAACAGUUACUGAAUGGCAUGGAGAUCAGUUAUGUCGUUCAAAAGAACGAAAAAACAGUGGAACGUUCUUAUCAUUAGACGAUAAAUAGCAAAAUACUGCCAUGUUUUGUGAGUUGGCUUCCUUAAUUAAACAACCGUUAUCAAUGUUUGUGACUCGUUCUCCGCAAAAUUUAUUCUGUAGUUUUAAUGUGUUUCAUUGUUGUAAUCAAUCACAGAACCUGGCUAUCCGCUUCGAGAUGACUCUCACUGGAUCGAGCUUAAGGGACCGGUCAUUAUUAAUAGUGGGAGUGGGACCGAAGAGAAAAUGGUUGCAUGGGUCAAGAAAAAAUGCUGGAUGACCAAGGUUGGGUUAAGAAAAAAUUGAAUAGCCAUGGGGGUUGGGUAAAAAAAUUCUUUAAAUAGAAAAAUACACUCAUUUAGCAUGGUGGGGUGGGUCAAAGAAACUAAUAGACAUCAGUUGGGUGGGUGAGAAAAAAUCUGGAACUGUGAAAGGUCGGGUAACUAGUUUUUUUAUAUCAUGAGAGUUUCUCUUCGGUCCCACCCCUACUAUUAAUAAUGAGCGAUCCCUAAUGGUUCCAAUCAUAUUCGUGACUUGAAGAUCGUAUAGCCAUAGUUAAUAUUAUCCUUGUCAUAGCAGUUGCAUAGCAUUUUACUUAAUAGGCUGGGCAAGACGUGUGGAUUACUGUUAAAAAUGCUUGCUAAGUAAUGAAGAACAAAUAAUACAUUCCAAACUCGUGCUAUAUGAUUUGGUCGGAAACCACAUUAAUACAUUCCAAACUCGUGCUAUAUGAUUUGGUCGGAAACCACAUUACGUCGUGAAUAUCAUCAACAGUAUAUUUUCCCAUAACCUCCCCACUUGACCGCCAGGUUAUCUCUAUCUAGACUAUGGUUUGCUGACUUGUCUGAAAUAAUACGGAGGUCGCACUCCCACGUAAAAUUGACCUAGAUUGACGUUGAGUAAAAUUGCCGAAAUGCUGACUCAUUCAAAUGGAACCGCGGUGUCACAAUAGUGAAAAUCUCCAGUCACGUUCAUUUUGAAUGUUUUGUUGUCUUCUCUACUUCUGAUUGUCUUGACUGACUGGACUACUUUUUAUAUUAAUCUCAAAGAAAGGAAUAGAAUAGAACAGAAUAAAGUGGAAUAGAACAGAAUAAAGUGGAAUAGAACAGAAUGUAGUAGAAUACCAUGGAAUGGAAUGGAAUAGAAUAAAAUGGAAUUUCGUAGAACUUCGCAUUUCCAUCUACCUUGUUAAUUUAAUCUUCAAUGAACAAAACUUACAUUGUUUGUAAUUUCCUCAGAUGUAUACAACUCUUUAAAUUUCAUGUCUUUUAUCAGUUAACGUUAAAAUUCAACUUCUUUCAAAAUCUCGGCAUUGCAUUAUACAGUUCGAUGCGUACGGUAAUCAAAUGAACAAAGUAGUAUUGACUAUUGUACAGUGUACUAUAUGGAUAACACUUUGACACACGGUGUGUAUAAAAAAAAUGGAUUCAAACAUAAAAUUCGAAAAGCAUUAUCUGAUAAAGCAAACCGUUUGUGUUUACACUCAGCUACUUUUGAAAGCUAUACUAUUUAGCUAGUUUGAAAUUUGAUCGAUUGGUUCGUAGAAAAAUAGUUUUUUAUGUGAUUGGGAUUAGAUUGGAGAAUAAAAAAUUAUGAUACAAUAGUCAAUACCAAAUCGAAGUACUCUCGCUUAAAUUGUCAAAAAAACUCGGAAAAAUUAAAGCGUUUUGGCACUUGUUCAUGACAAAACUACGGAAUUCUCAUGUGCACUGGUAUUUUUAGUUCAUUUACUAACUUUUAUGCGAUUCGAUGGCGUUUUUUUUCCGACGAUAGACGUUUACUUAGUAACAUUAUUAGCUCUGAUGAAGAUGCGGGCUUACAGAUUGAAAGGGCUUUGCAAUAAUAAGUAUAAUAGUGUAAGUCCACCUUAAAAUAGUGCGUUAUUUUCUAUAUUUUCUCCUGUACCAUUAUCACUUGCAUUUUAGAAAUGACCCCUUGUUCGAAAGAAGAACGAACGCGAAGCUUUAAAAUAAAACUAUAUAAGGAGUGGUAUUCGGAAAAUUAUUAACCAUAAAAGAUGGACUCUAUUUUUUUAUACUGUAGUCUGUAUAUAUAUACUGUAUACUUCAUUUGAUCCCAAUACUGAAGCGUAAGAAUUGGCGAUUAAGCAUGGAUCCUGUAAUUUCUUCAAUAUUUGCUGUUUUUCAGUUAGUCAGAUCGGUUCCGCAUACUAAUAGUACGUGCAACCGUCGCUAAAAAUAUCUCAAUUUUCCUGUAAUUCUAGAACUAAGAUCAACAUGAUGCAAUGUUUGUUAUUAAAACAGUAGCAUAUUUGGAUCACUGCAUGUACAUCAUUCUUUUUGAAGAAGUUUACAUAACCAUGUAUGUCGAAAGCGUUCUUAAGAUAACAUUCUGCAGAAUCAUGAUUAAUGGCACUUACAUGUUAUUUAACAGCUCAUUCCAAAGGCUUCAUUUUAAAAUGAUAUUGACGUAUUUUCGUUGGCACAAUGGCACUUAACGUGGAGCAAUUACGUUCAUAGCUCGACUGUGUAAUCAAACUCGCUCGUCGGCUCGUGUCUCAGAUAGUCUGGGAAUUUCGUAUUAGAUUGCUAUUAAACAGCUCAUUGAUAGUCAGCAGACAUGCGCCCUCCCAACUGAAGUAUCCCAGCCGUGCAACAAAACUCAUGAAUUACAUUGCGCUGCGCCGUUUCCAUAUUGAUUAUUGCUCUUGUUGCUUAAUAUAGAAAGAACAAUUUGACUUGUAACUUGCAGUAAUUAAAUAAUCCUUUCUUAUAUACAUUUGUUUGUUGCUUCAGCAAAUAAAUCGAUUUUUCUCAGUUUGUUAACCUUUGGUUGAUUACAAUAGAUUUUGUCAUUGAAACCCACACUUGUACACAGUAGGCGAUAUUCCCUACAGCCCUAGCCCUGUUACCCAGAAAAUAAUCACUUUUGUACAUGUUGUAUUGACUAGUAUUGAAAUUAUUGCGCUAGAUAACAUGUUAACCGGCUAAAUGAUUUCUAUUUUAAUCUCUCUUGUUUAAUUACAUAAUUCCCUCCAUUGUUUGCUGAAUCACUAAUAGUUUGCUGGUAUAAUCCUCAAAUUAAAUGACUAGUGCAAACUUACAAGUUACAAGCCAUGCUAAUUUGCGCCCCUAAUUGUUGAUCUUACACUAAACUUCUUAUUUACAUCAAGUCACCUGCUAAGUUUGUCAAUGUCGUCUAUGACAAGACAUUCUCAUUUUGAUAAAAGAGGCGAUUAAGGCCAGAAUGGAAUGUUUGGUCUGUACAAAUGGUGCAAUUAUAGUUCGUGCUAAUACUCUACAUUCAAUAGGAAAAAAUAUUCUGCAAAGUUGACUGUGUAUUCUCAUGCACCGCGAGUGUUGCCGCCGAUGGCGGUAAAUUAUUUUCGUCAGAUUAGCUGGAAAAUCUGAUUAUAGAACACAGCGGAACAUUUAACACAACCUUAAAUGCAAUUCACCUGGUCGGAAAUUAAAAUUGCAAGGCAACGUUUGUCUGUAAUUGCGGUUGGCGCGCAAUGAAUCGCGCAAGUUAUUUCUGCAUUUACUGCGUCUUGACGAUAAGUUUGAAGGAGAAGCUAGCGCACUGCCUCGGUAUAUUGAUCACAUCAUAGCCUAACUAAGAAAUGCAGUCAUAUGAUGACAAGCCUUCCUGUAAGCGUUUAUAAAUGUUAUUAAGUAUUUAAUACAAGCUUUCGACACUUUCUGGUAUGUUGCGGAUCGUGUGAAAAACGCUCAUGAGCGCUGCGUGAACUGUUUGACGCAGACAAUAAAAUCAACGCUUAAUUGCAUGCCAAGGAGACUUAAAAACAGAAAAGUCUGGGAGCCAGAGAAAUAAAUGGCACCUCGUUGUGAACAAUGCCGUUAACAUUUACGAUGAUAAUUCGUUGUGCUUUAAAUACAUCAGAUCAUUGUUGUUGAGCUUUGUAUUUAAAGUUGAACAGAUUUUGGAUUGCGUUAGAGGAGCGUUACACACAUAAUUAUAGCGCAAGUAACCGUGAAAGGUAAUUUAUUGUUAAUUUGAAUUGAUUUACUUCACCGGCAAUUAUACUUGCAGUGAAAUUGAAAACGAAUUCAUUAAAUAUCUAAGGGUUCUAGAAAAGCCUAUGUGCUAAAAACAUGUACUAUUUAUUUGGUUAAGAGGUGUGAACUUUACGCGCUGGCGUGAGAAGUGAAUGCAAAAGCUACUCCGCUGUCUUUCAAUUUACCCGUGCGAGGUUGACGUGUGUGGCCAGUGUGGGCGCAUGUUAAUACAUUCACUGUUAAAUCUAGAUGUUUAAUACGAACAGCCACUGGUUUCUCCAUACGAAUUACCUGUGUUCGCCUUUCAAUAGUUUACCUAUUGCGAGUUGCAAUUGUGAAGACUCACUCUACACAGGAACUCGCACGUUAUCAGUCGGAAAAACAUGUUUUUGUAUCAAUUAAAGAGCCGCGUUCGUUGCGUUUGCAUAUUGUUUUCAUCAAAUCAGAAACUCUCUGAGUUCUGUUUUGAUAACUGACGCGCUUGUCAGACAGCUGGCUCUUGAAAUACUGAGUACCGUAGACUUGAUGAUGAAACUAUGUGUUAGGUCUCUUCAUUAUAUACAUGACUUCAUCGAGUGAAGCACUCUGCGCUGAGGAUUACUGAAAUAAACAAUCUUACAUUCUUUCCUUUGCUAAAUAGGUGAAGUAACAAGUUUAUCAAAAAUGAUUUCCAAAUACAACACAGCGCUACUGGUUCUUAUAUUUAUCACGUUGGAUGGAAUAUGUACUAGUACUGCGAAACGAAUGCACGGAUGCAAACCUCGAAUUGGGAUUUCAACGAUAGAUAUACCUGGUUGUACAAAAAGAAGAAUUGCUAGCAAAGGUUGCGAUGGACAUUGUAUGUCUUCGGCUAUACCGAAAAUUUCUGGUUUUGGCGGUUUCGCCAAGACUUGCUCGUGUUGCUCUCCAAUUCAAAGUGUAACGAAAUACAUAACAUUGAAUUGUCAUAAAGGACCAAAAACUAGAACAGUAGCUUUGCCUUUGGCGACGAAAUGCAAGUGCCGGCCAUGUUAACAACAACCAACAAUUUUUUGUUAAACGCACUCGCCCAAUACAGAAUAGAUGCGUGUGGUCACGACCCUGAAUUUUGUUUCAUGACGAACAACGCCAAAGUAUUAGAUAUGGAAAGCGUAGACGUUGCCUUUGAUGGAACGGACAGUUUUUAUAUUAGAUGUACAAUAAAUGUGUAAAUAUAUCUAUCUUAUUGUAUACAUCUAACUGCGCAUUUUAUAUCCUUACUUGCAUGGUUUAUUGUCUUGAGCGUAUACAACAGGUAGUCGGUUCGGUAUGGUCUUUAACGACGUGCUUCCUAUAACUACAUGGAAGUUAUUAAAAUUUCUGAAGACUUCACACAAUUGCCAUUGUGUUCGAACAUUAAACAUUCACUAAACAGUUCUUGCAAAUCCAAGAAUGUUAUUUGUAAAUUAAAAAGAAAUGUAGAAGAAUUUAUAGAUGUGCAAUAUUCCUUGACCUUGUAUUUGAAAAAUUUUAAUAUUUCAUAUAAAAUAUAAUAUGUAAAAGGAAACUUUAGCAUUAUCACUGUAUACAUUUUUCUUUAUCCUUAAGACGACAUUAAUUAAAGAGACAUGUCAAGGUCCAUGUAUGGAUAAGUUCUGCAUGGCCAUGAUGGGCUGUGAUAAAAUUUCGUAGGUCGUUGUCCUUUUAUUCGUAGUGAUUGCGAUCGUUGAACUGAUUAGAUGGAAGAUAAUCCUAAAAACGUGGAUUUAAAUCGAAACAGCUCUGUUUUUAAUUAACUCAUAUAGCUAUGUACAUAUAUAUACUCGGACAUGGAUAUUUAUCUUCACAAUAUAUAUCAAGGCAUCGACAUCGUCGUUAAUCUUUACUAUAUGACGAGAGUUCUAUUUCGCUGCAACCAAUCUCCGUAAAUAUAUCGCAUUAGUUGAGACUAGCAUGCAGGAACCUAUCGUCGCAGGUUUAAACGUCGGGCUCAGAGGUUUAAACGUGG